UAGGUUAACGAGGCGAACCGGGGGAACUGAAACAUCUAAGUACCCCGAGGAAAAGAAAUCAACCGAGAUUCCCCCAGUAGCGGCGAGCGAACGGGGAGCAGCCCAGAGUCUGAAUCAGCUUGUGUGUUAGUGGAACGGUCUGGAAAGUCCGACGGUACAGGGUGAUAGUCCCGUACACCAAAAUGCACAGGCUGUGAACUCGAAGAGUAGGGCGGGACACGUGGUAUCCUGUCUGAAUAUGGGGGGACCAUCCUCCAAGGCUAAAUACUCCUGACUGACCGAUAGUGAACCAGUACCGUGAGGGAAAGGCGAAAAGAACCCCGGCGAGGGGAGUGAAAAAGAACCUGAAACCGUGUACGUACAAGCAGUGGGAGCACCUUCGGGUGUGACUGCGUACCUUUUGUAUAAUGGGUCAGCGACUUAUAUUCUGUAGCAAGGUUAACCGUAUAGGGGAGCCGCAGGGAAACCGAGUCUUAACUGGGCGUUAAGUUGCAGGGUAUAGACCCGAAACCCGGUGAUCUAGCCAUGGGCAGGUUGAAGGUUGGGUAACACUAACUGGAGGACCGAACCGACUAAUGUUGAAAAAUUAGCGGAUGACUUGUGGCUGGGGGUGAAAGGCCAAUCAAACCGGGAGAUAGCUGGUUCUCCCCGAAAGCUAUUUAGGUAGCGCCUCGUGAACUCAUCUUCGGGGGUAGAGCACUGUUUCGGCUAGGGGGUCAUCCCGACUUACCAACCCGAUGCAAACUACGAAUACCGAAGAAUGUUAUCACGGGAGACACACGGCGGGUGCUAACGUCCGUCGUGAAGAGGGAAACAACCCAGACCGCCAGCUAAGGUCCCAAAGUCAUGGUUAAGUGGGAAACGAUGUGGGAAGGCACAGACAGCCAGGAUGUUGGCUUAGAAGCAGCCAUCAUUUAAAGAAAGCGUAAUAGCUCACUGGUCGAGUCGGCCUGCGCGGAAGAUGUAACGGGGCUAAACCAUGCACCGAAGCUGCGGCAGCGACACUAUGUGUUGUUGGGUAGGGGAGCGUUCUGUAAGCCUGCGAAGGUGUGCUGUGAGGCAUGCUGGAGGUAUCAGAAGUGCGAAUGCUGACAUAAGUAACGAUAAAGCGGGUGAAAAGCCCGCUCGCCGGAAGACCAAGGGUUCCUGUCCAACGUUAAUCGGGGCAGGGUGAGUCGACCCCUAAGGCGAGGCCGAAAGGCGUAGUCGAUGGGAAACAGGUUAAUAUUCCUGUACUUGGUGUUACUGCGAAGGGGGGACGGAGAAGGCUAUGUUAGCCGGGCGACGGUUGUCCCGGUUUAAGCAUGUAGGCUGGUUAUCCAGGCAAAUCCGGAUAAUCAAGGCUGAGGUGUGAUGACGAGGCACUACGGUGCUGAAGUAACAAAUGCCCUGCUUCCAGGAAAAGCCUCUAAGCAUCAGGUAACAUCAAAUCGUACCCCAAACCGACACAGGUGGUCAGGUAGAGAAUACCAAGGCGCUUGAGAGAACUCGGGUGAAGGAACUAGGCAAAAUGGUGCCGUAACUUCGGGAGAAGGCACGCUGGUGUGUAGGUGAAGCCCCUGCGGGUGGAGCUGAGACCAGUCGAAGAUACCAGCUGGCUGCAACUGUUUAUUAAAAACACAGCACUGUGCAAACACGAAAGUGGACGUAUACGGUGUGACGCCUGCCCGGUGCCGGAAGGUUAAUUGAUGGGGUUAUCCGUAAGGAGAAGCUCUUGAUCGAAGCCCCGGUAAACGGCGGCCGUAACUAUAACGGUCCUAAGGUAGCGAAAUUCCUUGUCGGGUAAGUUCCGACCUGCACGAAUGGCGUAAUGAUGGCCAGGCUGUCUCCACCCGAGACUCAGUGAAAUUGAACUCGCUGUGAAGAUGCAGUGUACCCGCGGCAAGACGGAAAGACCCCGUGAACCUUUACUAUAGCUUGACACUGAACAUUGAGCCUUGAUGUGUAGGAUAGGUGGGAGGCUUUGAAGCGUGGACGCCAGUCUGCGUGGAGCCAACCUUGAAAUACCACCCUUUAAUGUUUGAUGUUCUAACGUUGGCCCCUUAUCGGGGUUGCGGACAGUGUCUGGUGGGUAGUUUGACUGGGGCGGUCUCCUCCCAAAGCGUAACGGAGGAGCACGAAGGUUAGCUAAUCCUGGUCGGACAUCAGGAGGUUAGUGCAAUGGCAUAAGCUAGCUUGACUGCGAGCGUGACGGCGCGAGCAGGUGCGAAAGCAGGUCAUAGUGAUCCGGUGGUUCUGAAUGGAAGGGCCAUCGCUCAACGGAUAAAAGGUACUCCGGGGAUAACAGGCUGAUACCGCCCAAGAGUUCAUAUCGACGGCGGUGUUUGGCACCUCGAUGUCGGCUCAUCACAUCCUGGGGCUGAAGUAGGUCCCAAGGGUAUGGCUGUUCGCCAUUUAAAGUGGUACGCGAGCUGGGUUUAGAACGUCGUGAGACAGUUCGGUCCCUAUCUGCCGUGGGCGCUGGAGAAUUGAGGGGGGCUGCUCCUAGUACGAGAGGACCGGAGUGGACGCAUCACUGGUGUUCGGGUUGUCAUGCCAAUGGCACUGCCCGGUAGCUAAAUGCGGAAGAGAUAAGUGCUGAAAGCAUCUAAGCACGAAACUUGCCCCGAGAUGAGUUCUCCCUGAGACUUUAAGUCUCCUGAAGGAACGUUGAAGACGACGACGUUGAUAGGCCGGGUGUGUAAGCGCAGCGAUGCGUUGAGCUAACCGGUACUAAUGAACCGUGAGGCUUAACCUU
rnacentral:rRNA from 1 species